AAAACAGAAAAAGUAAAAGAAUAUCACAAAAGUAAAAAGCAAAAGUAAAGUAGAAAAUUUAAACAAAGAAAAGUAAAGAAGGAUAAUUUGUUGCCGCCGUAAAUUUUUUUUGCCGAUCUUUUUUGUUACAAGAGAUUUUGUAUUUGUGAAGAUUUGCCACAACCUUCUUCAUUAUCAUCUCCCAAAUCGAUUAUGGGUUCUGAAUCAGAAUCGGCUAUAGAGGAAUUGGUUCUGUUUUGCAAUAACUGUUGCAUUAUUGCAAAAUAUUCAUCAUCAUUUAUGGCUCCUGUUAGUCUUGCCAUGACAUAUGAUCGUUGGGCAAAAAAUAAUUAAUUUGAAAGGUUUUGUACAAGAGUUGGAGGUAAAAGGUUUUUUUCCUUAAGCCAGUCUUUUAUUCCUUAGUUUGUAAUUGCUUCUGAGACAUUUAAUGAGUUCCACCAUUUUACCUUGAACCUUCUGAUGAUAGUGUUCAAUCCAUCUUGGGAUCGUAAUUCUAAGAACCAGAUCAA
rnacentral:misc_RNA from 1 species